GUCUGAAUAUGGGGGGCCCAUCCUCCAAGGCUAAAUACUCCUGACUGACCGAUAGUGAACCAGUACCGUGAGGGAAAGGCGAAAAGAACCCCGGCGAGGGGAGUGAAAAAGAACCUGAAACCGUGUACGUACAAGCAGUGGGAGCACGCUUAGGCGUGUGACUGCGUACCUUUUGUAUAAUGGGUCAGCGACUUAUAUUCUGUAGCAAGGUUAACCGAAUAGGGGAGCCGAAGGGAAACCGAGUCUUAACUGGGCGUUAAGUUGCAGGGUAUAGACCCGAAACCCGGUGAUCUAGCCAUGGGCAGGUUGAAGGUUGGGUAACACUAACUGGAGGACCGAACCGACUAAUGUUGAAAAAUUAGCGGAUGGCUUGUGGCUGGGGGUGAAAGGCCAAUCAAACCGGGAGAUAGCUGGUUCUCCC
rnacentral:rRNA from 1 species